rnacentral:rRNA from 1 species
UAUGACUGACGCCUCUAAGUCAGAAUCCCGCCUAGACGUAACGAUACCAUAGCGCCGCGGAUCUUCGGUUGGUCCCGGAUAACCGACUUCGGUCGGUGAGUAAAGCCACUCGUGGCAGGGCUGGGGAGCGACCCCAUGAAGGUCGCCCUUCUCCUACCUCGCACUGCAUGUUUGUGGAGAACCUGGUGCUAAAUCACUUGCAGACGACCUGAUUCUGGGUCAGGGUCUUGUACGUAGC